rnacentral:lncRNA from 1 species
GGCUCUUUUCGCUGUUGCUGCCUUCCCGGGGGCGGUCGCUUCGCUGCCAGAGACGCUUUCUUUUUUUUCCGGGUUCUGAGCCGUUCCGGAUGCUUUAGGUUGCCGGAUGUCUGAUCUUCGGAUAACUGAGGCGUUACUGUACAUGGAUUAUCUGGUGACUAGACUAUAUCCAGCUGAAAACCAUCAACCAUUUUAGACUACGUG